ensembl:lncRNA
AGACUUUGAAGGCAGCCUUUGACCUUGGAAAGUACUGGAGAGACCAGUGUCAAGGCUCAGCAUUUGGCCUGUGAUGGCAGAAAUAAAACUACCAGGAUCCACCAGGCCACCCAGCCCGGGUGUGGAGACUAGACGCACAGCAACCUAAGGCUGAUUUAGGAGAAGCUCAGAGUGCGGGUUCAACAGCACCAAGCCCAAGCGUGGCAAAAAUGUGGCUGAGGUUUUCUUGAGCUUAGCACGUGUUGGGAUUUUCGGAUCAUCAAAGUGUGGCUGCUACGGGGUUUCACUGAACGCUGGAAAGACCAGUGAGUGAGAGAUCAUUUUCCUGAAUAGGUCCUCAUUUUAGCUGAAGCUCUUUCAUUUUGGAAAAGAGAUGCCUGAUGCAACCACAACAUACCAAGGCAGGGAGGAAAAGAGUAUGUUGAAUUCUCGAACAGGAAAGAAGUCAUUCCCACUGCCGUUUGUUGGAACUACAACAAGAAGCCAGACAGGAGUAAACACCUGUUGGUGACCUUUUUUCACUUGUAAACAAAAGGAUUGAUGAAUACACGUCUGAAACCCGAGAUGUUUGUGAGUUGAGAACUCCUGGAUGGAAAAUUUUACAAAUGCUGUCCCACCUCAGAUACAGAACGGGUCUCACGGCAGCCGCCCACCUAGAACGUGGAGCCACGGAUCUCACAUUCCUGGUCUCUCCUGCACGUCAGCGAGGUGGCAGGUCUCCGUGUGUACCACUUACUUGCUAACUGUGUGAGAGGAAGAGGCCUUUGCACAACGUGGAAGGAAAUGGCCGGAAACAAGGACACACGGGUUCCAGAGUUCAUGUAAAGUACAGAACGUUCAGGCAAGAGGGUGAAAGUGCGUGGGUGGGUUUUCAGUUCACAAACUAUCUUGCUCUAGAAGAGAAGAUAGACGCUCCUUGUUGGUCCAGGAAAGACACAAAGGUUUGACGUAGCAGGAAAUGAUCCCUUUAAAGAAAACCUUUAUCUGACUGAUCCCAGGCUGCAAAGUGAGAGUUUUCCAGGAAGAAGCCACCUGGGGGCUGUGGUCUGCAGCCGUAUUUUAAAGGCUGAAGUACAGUCUUUGACAAAACUCACUCAUUUUUUUCCCCUCAAAGAUCUUUUAGGGGGUUUAACAAAACUUUAAAUUUCACUGAAGACAGGAAAAUACAGGACAAACUAGAGCUGCCAAAUCUUUGGUCAAGAGAAAGGUUUUUAUUGUGACUUUGCUCUUCUCGGGCCUCUCCAACCCAACCAGAAAAAAACCCCAAGACACAGGGACAAUGAGGCCGCUGCUCUCUGAGCCCCGGGUGCUUCUUGCUUCCGAGGAUACGAGGUGCUGAAAGAUGCCGCCUCGACUCCAGAUGAUGCCUCUAGAAGCCGAGAGCCGUCCCGGCUGACGGCCAGCAAGGGCACUGGGGCCUCAGUCCCACAACCACAGGAACUGGAUUUUGCCAACAGCCUCGUAGCUUGGGGAGGGCCCUGAGCCCCAGGCAGGGGCGCAGCCUGGCCAACAGCUUUCUUCAGUUUUGUGAAACUCUGAGCAGAGGACCUGGCUCGGUUGGGCCUGGACUUCUGACCUGCAGAAACUGUGGAGAUAAUGAAAGAUUGCCAUUGGAAGUCACUAAAUUUGCGGCAAUUGUUUAUGAGCAAUGGGAAACUGAUACAGCCCUCAAAAAAAAGAGGUGAGAUUUCAAUCUUAUGUCACCAACUAAGAGUCAGUGGAAGGACAGGACCCAGAGGGCCAACUGUCACAAGCUAUCUCUAAGCAACAUCUAACGUCCUCAGGGUCCUCAACAGUGCGCCUUUGCUGCAGCACUGCCAAAGGUCACUGCCGCCCUCCGGACAUGCACAUCAGCGCAACAGAUGCUCACAGCUCUCUCGCAAGCUGCCUCGCCCUUAUGAUGAACCAGGGAGCACCUGUUUCCCUCACUAGGUUAUGACCACCGUGCAAAGAAUAAUCAACUAAAAUUCUAAUGUUACUGGGUCUCAUACCGCAGCUCACAGUGCAGCAGAGACAGAGAAGAAGGAAUUUCUUUAUCUUUUGUUUAACUGAACUUGCUCUCCACCCAAGUCCCCACCCACGGCUAAGUGGGAGAAAACUGCCUGUCCCAUCUGACUUAAAGCUGCAUAGUGAGAGUCCCUUGGCUGUCCUAAGCCACUGUGGGGUGCGGCUGCUCAGCGGCUCAGCUCGCCUGGCCGUCCGCCUCGCUGCAGCACGGCUAAGAUGCUGGGAUCUCAUCCAGGUGUGGACGGGGGAAAGGCUGCGGCUUGCUCGCUCCCAGUUGUGUUGAUGGGUCACCAAUGGACCGCUGGCCUCACGGGGGUGCAUGGGUGCACUGGCAGGGGUCUGCACAUCUCCAGUGGGCACUGCUUGUCCAGGCAGCCCUGUUGUCCUUCCAGGCUGGAAUCUUCAGCUGGCAAACUCUGGCUCCAGGGUGUUCUGGAAAAGGACUUGCCCUGCGUUUCCUGCUCCCCAUCUCUGCUCCUCUUCGAGUGAGCUGCAGACAGACCCUGGGUUUCUGCUGUUUCCCUCAGCUCCGGGCCUGGCCAUGUGCUGCAGCCUUCACCGUGGGGUCCCCUUGCUUUGUCACAGCAGGCCUGUGGCAGACCCUUGGGCUCUCAGAGCGGCAUCCUGCAGGCGAGAAAAAUGGGGGUUCCGACUGUCAGCUGGACCUACCCUGUCUGCUCACACCCGCCCACUCUCUUAAGGACCAAGAGGACCACGCGCUGGCCUGGCCCUUCUGUUCCGCCACCUUCUCCCUAAGAUCCAAGUCGGCACGUUGGGCAGGCCCCCCCGAAGUGAUCCCCUCACUUCAUCUAAAAUAUGUACAGUCAAUCCUCACUAUCAGCAGAUUUUGUAUCUGCGAAUUUGCUUACUCACUGAAAUUUAUUUUAAUCCCCAAAUCAGCACUUCUGCACUUUCACGGCCCUUUGUGGAUGCGUGCAGAGUGGCGGCAAAUUUGAGUUGUGCACGUUCCCAGUUGAGGACAUACGAGGUGACACCCUACCUUUCAUUUCAGUGCUCACACGUAAACAAGUGUUCUCAUGGUCUACUCAGUGCGUGUUUUCCAUAGCUGUGUGCCUGGUGUUGGUGAUUUUGCUGUGUAUAGUGGCCCCAGGUGACGUGCUGGACGGCUGUGUUGUGUUCCUAAGAGCAGGAGGCCUGCGGAUGCCUUACAGAGAAAACCCGUGUGACAUGGACUGAAGGUCUGUGUCCUCCAGAAAUCACGAGUGGACGCCCUCACCUCCGGGGCGGCUGAAUUUGGAGAUGGGGCACCUGAGGACAGGCCAGGUCCAGUGGAUCAGGGUGGGGUCCUGACUUGUCUUGUAAGAAGAGACGAGAGCACUCUCUCUGGCCUCAGAGGAAAGGCUAUGAGAGGACGCAGAGGCCAUAUAAAAGCAGAAGAAAGCGCUCACUGGAAACCUACGGUGACCUUGGUCUUGGACUCUCUAGCCUCCAGAACUGUGAGAAAUAAAUUUCUGUUGUUUAAGCCUCGCAGCAUGUAGUAACUCGUGGCAGCCGCAGCCGACUUCCUUCAGGCCGGCUCUGUGAGGCCUUGGCUGUGAGUUCUAUGCCAGCGAAUCAACAGGGUCUAUUAAAGAAAACAGAUACGCGCAUAAAGCAGGGUUAUGCUCUCAUUCGCUAAUGAAUUAAAAACUUCACCUCCGUGAAAGAUACUGUCAAGAGAAUGAGAAGACAAGACACAGACUGGGAGAAAAUAUUUGCAAAGGGCACAUCUGAUAAAGGACUAUUAUCCAAAAUAUACAAAGCACUCUUAAAACUCAACAAUAAGAAAAUGAACAACCUGAUUACAAAAUGGGCAAAAGAUCUGAAUAGAUACCUCAUCAAAGAAGAUAUACAGAUGGCAAAUAAGCAUAUGAAAAGAUGCUCCACAUGGUUUGUCAUCAGGGAAAUGCAAAUUAAAACAAUGGGAUACCACUACAAACCUGUUAGAAUGGCCCAAAUCCAAAACAGUGACAACACCCAGUGCUGGCGAGGAUGUGGGGCAAUGGGAACUCUCCCUCGUGGCUGGUGCGGAUGCAAACGGUGCAGACACCUUGGAAGACAGUUUAACAGUUUCCUACAAAACGAAACCCACUCUUCACACAUGAUCCAGCAGUCACCCUCCCGGGGAUUCACUCAAAGGCCUUGAAAACUCAUAUCUACACAAGCAUCUGCGUGUGGAUGCCUACAGCAGCUUUAUUCAUUAUUGCCCAACUUAGAAGCACCCGCACGUCCUUCAGUAGGUGAGUAGAGAGAUAAGCUGUGUGUAUCAGUCUGCUCCAGCUGCUAUAACAAAAUAGCACAGACUGUGUGGCUUAAUAGAAAUUUACUUUUUAACUAUUCUGCAGGCUGGAAAUCCAAGAUCAAAGUGUUGGAAAACUCAGUUACUGGUGAGAGAGUUCUUCCUGGCUUAUGAACUAUCACCUUCUCUUUCUGUCCUUACUUGGCCUGUGUCUGUGCAACCCUGUCUUUUCCUCUUAGAAGGACACCAGUCCUAUGGGAUCAGGGCCCCAUUUAUGACCUCAUUUAACCUUAAUUACCUCUGUAGAGGCCUCAUCUCCAAAUACAGUCAUAUUGGGGGCUAGGAGUUCAACAUAUGUAUUUGGUGGGGGCACAAUUCAGAUCAUAGCACUGAGGUACAUCCAGACAAUUGAAUAAUUUUCAAUGUUAAAAAGAAAUGAGCUGUCAAGCCAUGAAAAGACUUGGGGAGACCUUAAAUACAUAUCUCUAAAUGAAAGGAGCCCAUCUGAGGAGGCCACAUAGUGUAUGACACCAACUGUGUGACAUCCCGGAAAAGGCAAAUUUCUGGAGACGGUGAGAGGUCAGCGUGCGGGGCUGGGGGUGUGUGUAUGGAGCACAGAGGGUUGUCAGACCGUGAGAAUCCUCUUGGAUACGACCAGGGAGGCUACAUGCCAUUGUUUGUCCAGACCCACAGCACAUACAGCACCAGGAGUGAAGCUGGUGUGAACUGUGCACUCAGGGGGAGGACGACGUGUGAGCACAGGUCAUCGAUUGUAGCAAAGGUACCGUCUCGGGGACACUGAUAAUGGGGGAGGCCGUGUCCCUGGGAGGGCAGGCGGCUUAAGGGAGCGCACUGUACUUUCCCCUUCAACUUUACUGUGAACCUAAAACUGCUCUAAAAAAUAAAAUCUAUUUAAAAGAAAAAAAAAAUGUGACCAGCGGCUCACAAGCACUGACCCUGUAUUUCUCCCAGGACAAUGGUCCAGGAUUUGCUAGGUCAGUGUUUGCAGUGAUUUUAUAGAACAGACUCCAGUGAACCGGGAGAGUGGACGGGAUGUGGUCCCAUUCUGGGCCAAAAGCCAGGACGGGGCAGAGGGGACACUCGUCGGCCCUCAGCCUCCUGCACUGCACUUCUCCUUUCCUCUCCUUCCCCCUUCUCUGGGGUCAGAAGGAGACAGGCCCUCCCCCGUGCACACCCUCCUUCGCUGACCCAUGUCCUAUUCCUGAAGGACCUCGUGUGAAGCUCUGGGAUCUGCUGGCCCAGGCAGGCUGACUGCUAAGACCCAGGACAACGUCCUCUCGGGUGUCAGCUGAGUUCAUAAAGUUGUGCUGGGCAUCAAAGUCCUACAGUGGGGUGCCGGGAGACGAUGCUUGUCUUCUCUCUGGAUUCCUUCCUAGGGUCUCCCUGGUCUCCUUCCCUCUCCCCUGCCUUCCUCACCUCUAGAAACUCCAGGCCAACGAGGAAAAUGGACAUGCUGGCAAGGCAGAAAGAGCAAAGUCCAGUGAUCACCUGUAACAGGUGUCCUCAUUUGGUAGACCCUGCACUCUGCCUGUGCGCAGGGCUCGGUGACGGACUGCACCCGGGUCAGAAGCUGUCAAGUUAGAACCAGGUGCGGUUGCCACACCCCAGAGGUCAGGCGUUGAUCGUGUCUUUUCCCUUCCUUCUUCCUCCUUCAGUUGACACACCUCAGUGACCCUGUAACCAAUAUCCCAUCAAGGAUUAACCCCCACACAUGCAAUCCAUCCCGGCCGCACCUUCUCUAUCCUAUUCUGGAAGACUGCCCGCUCCCACGAGCUACCAGCUUUCCAGAAACCACGCGGCUUUCAUCAGAUACCCUCACGUCCUUUCCUCUUGUCAGUGGCACUUGGAAAAGUGCCCCUAAGAACCUGAAAUGAGACGGCACCCUGCACAUUAAAUAAAGAAACCAGCACACAGAGCCUCACAGCCACAGAGUGCAACCUUACUGCAGGACCAUUGCUCAACUCCAGGGAAAGAAGUCACCCAGAUAAAGAAAAAAGGGGUGUCAACCAGAAAAGGAAUUAAUCAGCCGUGAACACAGAGGGAAAGGAGACUCAAAAGGCAUGUGCCAGAGAAGGAGGGACUCUGUCAGUGACUGCGUGCUGGGUCUGUCUGGCAAGUCCAUCUAUAACAUGGAAGUGGAUCCACCAGGCCAUUGGAGCCUAAUGCCACUGUGCCCAACCACCUGGGUUGUCACCCAAGCUUACUGAGCAACUUGGCAAUUACGUAGCUCGUCUAAAGGAAAGAGUGGGCUGCUGUGAUUGUGAAAUGCUAAUUAGCUUUCUAACUUUGUAUAUUGUCAUCUUCCGGGCCUUCUUUGAAUGAGUCAGCAUCUCAAGUCUGGCCAACCCUGGGACACUUACCAGAACGUUUCUGUACCUACAAGAUUUGAACCAGAUUUGGGGAAGUGGUGUGGGCGCCCUGCCUGAGAUCUUUGUCCUUGUGCAGGGAGCAGCCUGACUGCUUUCCUCCCUGAGCAUCACAGCAGAGGAGCAGCAAGUGUGAGCCACAGGUAUUUUAAAAGGAUUUGGUUCGGAAAGUGAUUCUGACCCCAUAACCAACCAUCAGUCCUGUGGGGUUCUUCAUUUGUUGUAUGACCCACGUCAGCCUUGCUCUUGAUGAUGAGGCUCUGGCUGUGACUUCCAACCGUGCCCUAGAGACUCCAGCUGGCCUGUUUCUUCCCGUUCCACUGGAAGUCAGGACCCUAUUGCUUGGAUUUUCUUCUAUGAUCUAGAUGAGGAUCCAGUCACACGAAACCUGUGGAAAUCAUUGGGAAAGGCUAAAUGUUAGCCAGCUAUCAAUUGGUUGUAAGCCCUUGUAUCUUUAUAAACAAGAAGGGGCCAUCUUGAGAAUAUUAUAUGUCUGUUCCUAGGUAGGAAACUUAACAAUGUCUGGACCAUUUUAAUAAUUGGUGUUUGAUGUCCUCAAACACCUGCUUACAUGGGCCAACAUUAGCUUCUGGUUAGUAAGAAGUUUCACCUUAUCAGCCUCUUAGUCGCCUAAGUGAGGAGCUGGUGCACGGAGUAACCUCUUUUUGUUCUGGGCUGGUUCUUUGCUCUUGCUGCCAGAAUCCCUAUUUCAAAUUUCGAGGAGGUGCAGGCGGUCCACCAGUUCUCAGCUCCCAUGAGGGAGGUUAGCGUGGGAUUCCUUGCCCCCUCCACCCACCCGACUCCCAUCGGUCACCCCAGCACUAAGUCAGAGCUCACUGUCAGGUAACUUAGAGGACCCUUGUUUGAAAGCAGUGGUGUUAUCAAUGCGUAUCUUAUUUUUAGGAAAAUUUUUAACAUCUUUGGGGGAAAAGUGGCUGACAAUAAUCCCUUUAUAGUAAGAUCACAGUUGCUGCCACCUGCAAUGCCAUUAAUGUUUAGUCUGAUAAUUUUCCAGGGCAGAAAAACCCUCCUGUAAUGUACCUAAUGUUCUAUGCAGAGAGGGGAAUCUUCCCUGACCUAUGGAAUACGAUAGUGACUUAUUCUUAUUGUGCUUAGCUGUGAAAGUUACUUCUCUAAGCUCGAUUGGAAUGUAUGUUUAUGAGAAAUGGUACCCAUUUAAGCAGAUUAUAAAACAAUACUAAUUUUAUCAUUUCAAAUCUAGGGUUCUACGUGAGAUGUCUUCUAAAGAUUAAGUAAUUUUAUGCUUGAUUUAUUUAAAAAGUACAACUUUAUAAAGGCAACACAAGGAAUUUUUAGAAGAUGUAAAUAUUUUCAAAACUCAUGAUUUUCCUCCAAUACGUGGUUUUGACAAAUGAAACAACUUACAUGUUUUCCAAGCUGAGGAGUUGGCCCAUAGUAUAAGGGAGCAAACAGCACAAGAUAUUUUCUUUGACAGGUAAAUUUAAAAAUUUUAUUUCUGACUUUUGGUUCAGCUCAGAACUUAUUUUUUUUGAGGAAGAUUAGCCCUCAGCUAACAUCUGCUGCUAGUCCUCCUCUUUUUGGUAAGGAAGACUGGCCCUGAGCUAACAUCCGUGCCCAUCUUCCUCUACUUUAUACGUGGGACACCUACCACAGCACGGCUUGCCAAGCUGUACCAUGUCCACACCAGGGAUCCCAACCAACAAACCCCGGGCCACAGAAGUGGAACUUGGGAACUUAACCACUGUGCCACCGGGCUGGCCCCUCAGCUCAGUACUUGAUUAGCAUCUUUUGGCCAGCGUUUCUGGGAGCAAAAUAAAUUCUGC